AGAGUUUGAUCCUGGCUCAGGACGAACGCUGGCGGCGCGCCUAACACAUGCAAGUCGAACGAGAGAUGAGGAGCUUGCUCUUCAGAUCGAGUGGCGAACGGGUGAGUAACGCGUGAGGAACCUGCCUCAAAGAGGGGGACAACAGUUGGAAACGACUGCUAAUACCGCAUAAGCCCACGGCUCGGCAUCGAGCAGAGGGAAAAGGAGCAAUCCGCUUUGAGAUGGCCUCGCGUCCGAUUAGCUAGUUGGUGAGGUAACGGCCCACCAAGGCGACGAUCGGUAGCCGGACUGAGAGGUUGAACGGCCACAUUGGGACUGAGACACGGCCCAGACUCCUACGGGAGGCAGCAGUGGGGAAUAUUGCACAAUGGGGGAAACCCUGAUGCAGCGACGCCGCGUGGAGGAAGAAGGUCUUCGGAUUGUAAACUCCUGUUGUUGAGGAAGAUAAUGACGGUACUCAACAAGGAAGUGACGGCUAACUACGUGCCAGCAGCCGCGGUAAAACGUAGGUCACAAGCGUUGUCCGGAAUUACUGGGUGUAAAGGGAGCGCAGGCGGGAGAACAAGUUGGAAGUGAAAUCCAUGGGCUCAACCCAUGAACUGCUUUCAAAACUGUUUUUCUUGAGUAGUGCAGAGGUAGGCGGAAUUCCCGGUGUAGCGGUGGAAUGCGUAGAUAUCGGGAGGAACACCAGUGGCGAAGGCGGCCUACUGGGCACCAACUGACGCUGAGGCUCGAAAGUGUGGGUAGCAAACAGGAUUAGAUACCCUGGUAGUCCACACCGUAAACGAUGAUUACUAGGUGUUGGAGGAUUGACCCCUUCAGUGCCGCAGUUAACACAAUAAGUAAUCCACCUGGGGAGUACGACCGCAAGGUUGAAACUCAAAGGAAUUGACGGGGGCCCGCACAAGCAGUGGAGUAUGUGGUUUAAUUCGACGCAACGCGAAGAACCUUACCAAGUCUUGACAUCCCUUGACGAUGCUGGAAACAGUAUUUCUCUUCGGAGCAAGGAGACAGGUGGUGCAUGGUUGUCGUCAGCUCGUGUCGUGAGAUGUUGGGUUAAG
rnacentral:rRNA from 1 species